CAACGGNGAGUAUGUGGUUUAAUUCGAUNCAAGNGAAGACCNUACNUGUUNUUGACAUCCGGAGAUUUCCUGNAAACAGGAGAGGCUUUCAUAGAGAGAAUCCGGUGACAGGUGCUGCAUGGCUGUCGUCAGCUCGUGUCGUGAGAUGUUGGGUUAAGUCCCGCAACGAGCGCAACCCUCGCUUUUAGUUGCCAGCAGUUCGGCUGGGCACUCUAAAAGGACUGCCGGUGUUAAACCGGAGGAAGGCGGGGAUGACGUCAAGUCCUCAUGGCCUUUAUGACCAGGGCUACACACGUACUACAAUGGCCGGUACAAAGGGCAGCGAGCUUGCAAAAGUCAAGCGAAUCCCGAAAAGCCGGUCUCAGUCCGGAUAGGAGUCUGCAACUCGACUCCUUGAAGUUGGAAUCGCUAGUAAUCGUGGAUCAGCAUGCCACGGUGAAUACGUUCCCGGGCCUUGUACACACCGCCCGUCACACCACGGGAGUUGGUUGUUCCAGAAGCAGUUGAGCUAACCUUCGGGAGGCAGGCUGCCAANGAAGGCGGAAUGGG
rnacentral:rRNA from 1 species